rnacentral:rRNA from 1 species
GUGGGGAAUAUUGCACAAUGGGCGCAAGCCUGAUGCAGCAACGCCGCGUGAGGGACGACGGCCUUCGGGUUGUAAACCUCUUUUAGCAGGGAAGAAGCGAAAGUGACGGUACCUGCAGAAAAAGCACCGGCUAACUACGUGCCAGCAGCCGCGGUAAUACGUAGGGUGCAAGCGUUGUCCGGAAUUAUUGGGCGUAAAGAGCUCGUAGGCGGUUUGUCGCGUCUGCUGUGAAAACCCGAGGCUCAACCGCGGGCCUGCAGUGGGUACGGGCAGACUAGAGUGCGGUAGGGGAGAUUGGAAUUCCUGGUGUAGCGGUGGAAUGCGCAGAUAUCAGGAGGAACACCGAUGGCGAAGGCAGAUCUCUGGGCCGUAACUGACGCUGAGGAGCGAAAGCGUGGGGAGCGAACAGGAUUAGAUACCCCUGUAGUCC